GCGCCCGUAGCUCAGUGGAUAGAGUAUUGGCCUCCGAAGCCAAGGGUCGCAGGUUCGAUUUCUGCCGGGCGCGCCA
rnacentral:tRNA from 1 species